rnacentral:lncRNA from 1 species
ACCUUUUUCACUGUGUUUCACAAUGAGAAAUAUAUUUUAUAUCAAGAAUGAGUACAAUCAUAUAUGCAUGAGAUGCCUCCUGUAUUUUCCAUUCAUUGUCUCCUCUUUUAUCAUAUCCUAUCCAGAGUGAUUCAGUUUUUCACACACUUUGAAAACAUGGAUCUAGGCAUGUUAUAGGAACCAAGAUAGUAUGCAAACUUAUCCAAAGGAUUAAGACAUAACUCAUCUUUUAUCACUCUGUCUUUCUCUACAUACAGUGGCUAUUGUUUCUGUCACCUCAGCAUGCAUUCACCUACUUUCUGGUAAUGACAGCAUAAUUUUCCUUUUGGAAAUUUUCCUUCUCCUUGUUUUAGUCCAUAGGACUCAUGUCAAUGCCCUGCCCACCUCUCCUGUCUCCCUCCCACCCCAUAAUUCUGCCAGCUCUGGGGAGGCAUGCCAUCUCCUUCUGGGCAGGCAGAGUAGCUAUCUCUCUGACCACAAGGACUGUCUCAGUAGUGGGCAUAUAACCUAGGCAAGGCCAAAUCAGUUCUUGUUUUGGUGGACUGCAAGCUGCUGGGAAUCAGGCCUGUAGAUCCGGGAAGUGAUCAUGUGAAAGAGCUGCCUAGAAGGGACGCUAACAAGAGAAAAGGAGAUGGAGACCUUAUGGCAGCAACUGUGACCCUGGAUCCAAUCACCUUUUCCUAUGCACCAGUAAAUUUCCCUUUUGAAAUUCUAAUUUAAGAAAAACCAUCUGAUGAUGUUUAGUAUGUGAAAUACCUUGAAUUUUUUUCAAAAUUUGCAUUCUCAGAUCUCUUCAGUAUGCUAAAUUUAUAGAGAGCAAAAGUAAGGAGAAAUUGUCAUAUAAUCACUUGAAUGUUAAAUGAUAUUACAAGUGUCUAAAUUCAUUUUUACAUGAGAAAAUAAAAUUUGUAGGACAUUUCAAUGCAUUAUCAAGUCUUGAUCUUUUUCUCAAUGUCUACGUAUUUCUAGUGUUGCUGUUCUGAGAAGUACCAACUUCAUUUUACUAAGAAAAACACAUUGGAAAAAUAUAUAUACCAUUUACACGACAGAGGAAAAAUACAGAAGAUAAG